GUCCAGACUCCUACGGGAGGCAGCAGUGGGGGAUAUUGCACAAUGGGGGAAACCCUGAUGCAGCGACGCCGCGUGAGUGAAGAAGUAUUUCGGUAUGUAAAGCUCUAUCGGCAGGGAAGAAAAAAAUGACAGUACCUGACUAAGAAGCCCCGGCUAACUACGUGCCAGCAGCCGCGGUAAUACGUAGGGGGCGAGCGUUAUCCGGAUUCACUGGGCGUAAAGGGAGCGCAGGCGGCACGGCAAGUCCGGUGUGAAAGCCCGGGGCCCAACCCCGGGACUGCACUGGAAACUGCCGGGCUGGAGUGUCGGAGGGGCAGGCGGAAUUCCUAGUGUAGCGGUGAAAUGCGUAGAUAUUAGGAGGAACACCAGUGGCGAAGGCGGCUUACUGGACUGUAACUGACGUUGAGGCUCGAAAGCGUGGGGAGCAAACAGGAUUAGAUACCCUCGUAAA
rnacentral:rRNA from 1 species